rnacentral:rRNA from 1 species
GAUGAACGCUGGCGGCGUGCUUAACACAUGCAAGUCGAACGAAGCACUUUAUUUGAUUUCCUUCGGGACUGAUUAUUUUGUGACUGAGUGGCGGACGGGUGAGUAACGCGUGGGUAACCUGCCUUGUACAGGGGGAUAACAGUUGGAAACGGCUGCUAAUACCGCAUAAGCGCACAGCAUCGCAUGAUGCAGUGUGAAAAACUCCGGUGGUAUAAGAUGGACCCGCGUUGGAUUAGCUAGUUGGUGAGGUAACGGCCCACCAAGGCGACGAUCCAUAGCCGACCUGAGAGAGUGACCGGCCACAUUGGGACUGAGACACGGCCCAAACUCCUACGGGAGGCAGCAGUGGGGAAUAUUGCACAAUGGGCGAAAGCCUGAUGCAGCGACGCCGCGUGAGCGAAGAAGUAUUUCGGUAUGUAAAGCUCUAUCAGCAGGGAAGAUAAUGACGGUACCUGACUAAGAAGCACCGGCUAAAUACGUG